GAGGGUGUAGCUCAAAGAAACUAGUGCCUGCUUAGCAUGCACGAGGUCCUGGGUUCAAUCCCCAGUGCCUCCA
rnacentral:tRNA from 1 species